AACGAACGCUGGCGGCGUGCCUAACACAUGCAAGUCGAACGGAAAUAAAAUGAAGCCUAGCGAUUUUUAUUUUAGUGGCGGACGGGUGAGUAACGCGUGGGUAACCUGCCUUACACUGGGGGAUAACAGUUAGAAAUAGCUGCUAAUACCGCAUAAGCGCACAGGGCCGCAUGGCCUGGUGUGAAAAACUCUGGUGGUGUAAGAUGGACCCGCGUCUGAUGAGCUAGUUGGUGAGGUAACGGCCCACCAAGGCGACGAUCAGUCGCCGGCCGGAGAGGGUGAACGGCCACAUUGGGACUGAGACACGGCCCAAACUCCUACGGGAGGCAGCAGUGUGGAAUAUUGCACAAUGGGCGAAAGCCUGAUGCAGCGACGCCGCGUGAAGGAAGAAGUAUUUCGGUAUGUAAGCUUCUAUCAGCAGGGAAGAAAUUGACGGUACCUGACUAAGAAGCCCCGGCUAACUACGUGCCAGCCGCCGCGGUAAGAC
rnacentral:rRNA from 1 species